AAUGAUGGUUGCUUGUGUUGCAACCGAAACGUCGUAUUCUAUUAUUAUUUUAUUUUCUACGUUACUUUACCGAAAUAACCAAAGAGUAAUUUUAUUCAUAAUAACAAUGGCACAGGGUCUUCACGUGGAAUCCACAGUUGACAGUGCACUCUGAUAAUUUACUGAAGCGAGUAGCUGGUCUUUCUCACCAGGGUGCAAUCCCAUUGAGAGAGGUGAAAUCUCAUUGAGAGAGGUGCAAUCCCAUUGAGAGAGGUGCAAUCCCAUUGAGAGAAGUGUAAUCCCAUUGAGAGAGGUGACAUCUCAUUGAGAGAGGUGCAAUCCCAUUGAGAGAGGUGCAAUCCCAUUGAGAGAGGUGUAAUCCCAUUGAAACCGGUGCAAUCCCAUUUUCAAGGGAGACCCAGGCUCCAAAAGCCAAACAGAGGAGGA